rnacentral:rRNA from 1 species
UAUGUGAUCGUCUCUCGCAUAUCAAUAAGCGGAGGAAAAGAAACUAACAAGGAUUCCCCUAGUAACGGCGAGUGAAGCGGGAAGAGCUCAAAUUUGAAAUCUUAAAGGGUUUCCCUUUACGAAUUGUAGUUUAAAGAAGUGUUUUCUGCUGAGGUUUUGGUAAAAGUUCUUUGGAAUAGGACAUCAUAGAGGGUGAGAAUCCCGUAUUUGACCUUUACUUUCAACUUUGUGAUACACUUUCAAAGAGUCGGAUUGUUUGGGAAUGCAGUCCAAAAUGGGUGGUAAAUUUCAUCUAAAGCUAAAUAUUGGCGAGAGACCGAUAGCGAACAAGUACCGUGAGGGAAAGAUGAAAAGAACUUUGGAAAGAGAGUUAAACAGUACGUGAAAUUGUCAAAAGGGAAGCGUUUGACACCAGUGUUGUUUUUCUGAAAAUCAAUUAAAGAACUGUUUAUGCUAAGCUGUUUAGACUUUAUCAGCUAUCUGUUUAGUUUUGAGCUUUUCUUUAAUGCACUUUUCAGUUAACAAGUCAACAUCAAUUUCUUUUGCUGUAAAAAAGCUUGAGGAAGGUGGCUUGAGAUUCGUCUUAAGUGUUUAUAGCCUCUUGCCUAUGCAGUCGGAGAGAUUGAGGUCUGCAGUGUAGAUCCUUCGGGGCUAAAUGCAUUUGUGCUAAGUUAUAGCAUUUUAUAGACAACUUGUUGACUAUGAUUUGUCUUGUAGCUUACUCGCUUAUGUUAUUUUACCUACGCUUAGGAUGUUGAACGCGCACAGAGUCUC